AUUGAACGCUGGCGGCAUGCCUUACACAUGCAAGUCGAACGGUAACAGGUCUUCGGAUGCUGACGAGUGGCGAACGGGUGAGUAAUACAUCGGAACGUGCCCGAGAGUGGGGGAUAACGAGGCGAAAGCUUUGCUAAUACCGCAUACGAUCUCAGGAUGAAAGCAGGGGACCGCAAGGCCUUGCGCUCACGGAGCGGCCGAUGGCAGAUUAGGUAGUUGGUGGGAUAAAAGCUUACCAAGCCGACGAUCUGUAGCUGGUCUGAGAGGACGACCAGCCACACUGGGACUGAGACACGGCCCAGACUCCUACGGGAGGCAGCAGUGGGGAAUUUUGGACAAUGGGCGCAAGCCUGAUCCAGCCAUGCCGCGUGCAGGAUGAAGGCCUUCGGGUUGUAAACUGCUUUUGUACGGAACGAAAAGACUUCUUCUAAUACAGGAGGUCCAUGACGGUACCGUAAGAAUAAGCACCGGCUAACUACGUGCCAGCCGCCGCGGUAAUAC
rnacentral:rRNA from 1 species